GGCGAAGAACUGGAAUAGAGCUCGCCUCGGCUCUGCUGGCCUUGGCUGAAGCUCUUCCAGAGACCCGGGGCGGCCACGGGAGAAUGCCUUACCUGGAGCUCUCUUCAGGGAUGACAUCAUCGGCUCACACCAGUCUUCCAGGACCACCUUCUGGAUGCCAAGGCUGCUGCUCAAGUACUUGCUGUGCACCUCUGCCUCCUGAGUCAAGGAGCAUGGAUUCCAGGAACCCACUAGCAUACAGAACAACUUCUUGUGGACCCCCCUGGGAUCAGGACAUCGAGGGACAAGCAACAAAGAGGAUCAUCAGUGUCCAGCUAGUCUCUCUCUGGGGUUCAAACCUUGAAUCAAUGCCCUAGUGAGGGGGCACUGGCCAUGACCCCUCAACCUUUGCUCUGCUUGUAUCUUGAGUCUGAGUCCUUCCCUGUACAUCUGUGCUCGUGUUCAUCAGCUAGUGAACUGAAGUGCUUCCCUCCCCGAGGGGGGUCGUCCCUUGUGACUGACCAUGUUGUCCUAACAAUGUCCUGAGCAGAAGGGUCCCCAAUGGGAACCUCUCAGGAGGGGGGUUUGGGGCGGCGGGGGGGGGGACCAGCAUCUUGCUGGCAACUGUGGGUGGGGUGGGGUGCUUCCUUCUGGAAUGAGCAUGUGGCUGACCCCCAAAGGCAUGCCCCCUCCCCCCCCACCCACCUUCUUGGAGAUGUCCCUUCCUUUUGGGGUAGUGGGGACAUUAGGAGCAACCUCCUAGGGUUGUUGUGAGAAUUAAAUGAACUGUAGCAGCCUGAGGCAGGGCUGGGCAGAAACCUCAGCACAUGUUUGUUGAAAGGUUUGCAGGUGGAUCAAGUCACCCAACUCACAGUCUCAUGUGUCUCGUCUAUUCUCCUGCAGACUCCUGUAGCCCCUAUGCCCAGGGCUCUUCUUGCUCCAGCUAGGGGCUCCUAAAGACAACAGGCCGUCCAGGAGACUUUGACCCGGCUUCUCGAGGCCUGUCUACACUCGCUGCUUUCCUUCCUCACCUCCAAUUUCCCCUCCAACCCACUGCUUCCUGACUCGCUCUUCUCCAUCGAACGGCUCUUGCUCAGGUUUAUGCCUUGGCCUGCUGGCCCUGGAGAUCCCAUCGUCGGCUUCGUCGAACUCAAAGUCGUCGCCCUACCCUGGCCCGUCGCGUCUUCCUGUGCCAUUUCCUGUUGUGCUCAGGUUCCACGAGCUGCCCAUCUCCAGAGAAGAGCAGCUGGCAUUGCCCACCGGCCGUGCUGGCUGAAGAAGAGAGGACAUGAGGACCCCAGGAUGCCCAGCGUGAGGACCCCAGGACACCCAGCGCGAGGACCCCAGGACGCCCAGCUCGAGGACCCCAGGACGCCCAGCGCGAGGACCCCAGGACGCCCAGCGCGAGGACCCCAGGACGCCCAGCGCGAGGACCCCAGGACGCCCAGCGCGAGGACUCCACAUCCUUACGUUGCAACCCUCCUGGAAUAGGCCAACAUCGUCAUCACCUGGAAUCCUGCGUGGGACCCUGGACACAUGGACACAGAGCCUGCCCAUAGGACCUUCCAACUGUAAAUCCUUCCACAGCCACGGGCACGCCUUGCACACUUCCUCUGGGACAGACAUGCUGGACCCAAGACUCUGGAUCCUGGCCUCCCCUUGAGUAGAGAGACCCACCUACUGACUGAUGAACUGCGCUGACCCUGGGGUCAGGCGUGUGGCCUUGAUCCCUGUCCAUGGACCCUGAGACUUGGGGGGAAGGCUGUUGAGUCUUCACUGUUGAGUCAACAUCUAUGAAAUGGGCUAAGGUUCCUACCUCACAGGGCUGUUGUGAGGCUCUUGCAAUGUGCUUAGAAGCAUGGGGCCUGGUGGCUCAUGGUGCUUUCAAUAAAUGUUUCUUGUUUUAACUAAA
rnacentral:lncRNA from 1 species